rnacentral:rRNA from 1 species
GACGAACGCUGGCGGCGUGCCUAAUACAUGCAAGUAGGACGCAGUUGCGAACGGGUGAGUAACGCGUAGGUAAAUGCCUAUUAGAGGGGGAUAACUAUUGGAAACGAUAGCUAAUACCGCAUACUAGUAGAUGGACCUUCGUUGUAUUAGCUAGUAGGUAGGGUAAUGGCCUACCUAGGCAACUAAACAUAGGCGACCGGAGAGGGGGAUCGGCCACACUGGGACUGAGACACGGCCCAGACUCCUACUGGAGGCAGCAGUAGGGAAUCUUCGUCAAUGGGGGGAAACCUGACCGAGCAACGCCGCGUGAGUGAAGAAGGUUUUCGGAUCGUAAAGCUCUGUUGUUAAGGAAGCGGUACUUAACCAGAAAGGGACGGCUAACUACGUGCCAGCAGCCGCGGUAAUUC